GGAGAGGCCGUGGUUCAAUGGUAGAACACCUGCUUUGCAUGCAGAAGGUCCCAGGUUCGAUCCCUGGCGGCUCCA